rnacentral:rRNA from 1 species
UACGUAGGGGGCAAGCGUUGUCCGGAAUCAUUGGGCGUAAAGCGCGUGUAGGCGGCUCGAUAAGUCUGCUGUGAAAGUUCAGGGCUCAACCCUGAAAUGCCGGUGGAAACUGUCGAGCUAGAGUACGGAAGAGGUGAGUGGAACUCCUGGUGUAGCGGUGGAAUGCGCAGAUAUCAGGAAGAACACCGAUGGCGAAGGCAGAUCUCUGGGCCGUAACUGACGCUGAGGAGCGAAAGCAUGGGGAGCGAACAGG